rnacentral:lncRNA from 1 species
GCGGCGGCGAGUCGCCUCGGGUUGGCUGUUUUCGGCCGUUUUCGGCUGAAUUCGGCCACACUCGCAUCGGUCCUUGUCAGAAAACAACCCUAGGGCCCUCGGGGGGCCAAAAAAUCACGGAAAAGCGGAGCUUACCGGCGGCGGCGCUCUCGGGUACGGCGACCCUCCGGCGAGGUUCGUGUUUUGGUGAUUUGGCUUCGGUCAACCUGUAGAGAAAAGAAUGGUGAUCACGGUGAUAUAAAAA